AGGCGGACGGGUGAGUAACGCGUGGGUAACCUGCCUCAUACAGGGGAGUAACAGUUAGAAAUGACUGCUAAUACCGCAUAAGACCACAGCACCGCAUGGUGCGGGGUAAAAACUCCGGUGGUAUGAGAUGGACCCGCGUCUGAUUAGCUAGUUGGUAAGGUAACGGCUUACCAAGGCGACGAUCAGUAGCCGACCUGAGAGGGUGACCGGCCACAUUGGGACUGAGACACGGCCCAA
rnacentral:rRNA from 1 species